UGGGGAAUAUUGCGCAAUGGGCGAAAGCCUGACGCAGCGACGCCGCGUGAGGGAAGAAGGCCUUCGGGUCGUAAACCUCUGUCUAGAGGGAAGAAACCAUUGAGGUCGAACAGGCCUCUUUGCUGACGGUACCUCUGAAGGAAGCACCGGCUAACUCCGUGCCAGCAGCCGCGGUAAUACGGAGGGUGCGAGCGUUAAUCGGAAUCACUGGGCGUACAGAGCACGUAGGCGGUGUCGUAAGACGGAUGUGAAAGCCCUCGGGUCAACCGGGGAACUGCAUUCGAUACUGCGAUGCUUGAGUGCCGGAGAGGGUGGCGGGAUUCCAGGUGGAGGAGUGAAAUCCGUAGAUAUCUGGAGGAACACCAGUGGCGAAGGCGGCCACCUGGCCGGCAACUGACGCUGGGGUGCGAAAGCGUGGGGAUCAAACA
rnacentral:rRNA from 1 species